UUGUUAUAUUACUAUUUAGGUUAAAAAUUUAGUUUUAACUAUCCUUUAUAUGAUGAACAGGUUUCAGAUUUAGUUUUAACUAUCCUUUAUAUGAUGAACAGGUUUCAGAUUUCAAAAAUGUUGAGAUUUCUAGACUUUGGCAGACAAACGCAUAAGUUCAACUUUAUUCAAUUAAGACACGCAGGCCACAAUAAAUGGAGUAAUAUUAAACAUAUAAAAGCUGCAAAAGACGGAAUCAAAUCAAAGAGAAAUGCAGCGUUUGCCGCGAAAAUCAAUAUUGCCAUUAAGGAGAAAAAUGGAGAUGUUAAUACCGAGACUAACUCAGCUCUCAGGAAAAUCUUAAAUGACGCGAGAAUAGCCCAGGUCCCUAAAGCAACGAUUGACACAGCAAUUAAGAAUUUUAAGAAUAUUGAUGCGGUGGAGGUUACUGCAGAAAUCAAGUGUGCUGGGGGAAUUAUACUUAUUGCAGAAUGUCUAGGCAAAAGUCGUCAAUUUGUACACAAUGAACUUAUAAACAUUUUGAAGAAGAAAAGUGGAGUUCUUGAAAAAGGUGGUUUGAUAUCCAUGUUUGAAAGAAAAGGAGUAAUUAUUGCAGAAUUAACAAGCUCUGAUAAUUUAGAUUCGAUUGAGGAUGAUGCAAUAGAAGCUGGAGCUGAGGAGGCAACUGUAUUAAGUACUGAAGCUAAGACUGUAGAAUUUCUGUGUUCUCCCGUGACUGUUGGUCAAGUUCGUCAAUAUUUAGAGGAACAUGGUUACACAUGUAUAGAUGCCGCUGUUAAUUUUAUUCCACUGAUACCUGCCAACCCUAGUCCGGUAGAUAGAAAAUAUGCACUUGCUGUUAUAGAAGCCCUAGAAGCCUCUAGUUUAGUGACAGCAGUUCAUCCCAACUUUUAAUCCAUUUAUUUUCUUAAUCCCUCAAUUCAUAAUUGUCCUCUUCAAUCUUUCAUUAAAGGAACCGUUCACUGAUAUGGGUAAUUUGAAGUGAACGGUCCCUUUAACUUAAUCCGUUUAAUUUAUAGACAUGGUGUUUUAUUUUUAAUUGUAUUUUUCCAAUUUGUCUAAACCUUUUUCUAACAAUCGAUAGAUCUUGAAGCUAUUAUUAAACGAACUAUGAAUAAAUGUAUUUAUAUGUA
rnacentral:misc_RNA from 1 species